GACAGAGGGUGCAAACGUUGUUCGGAAUUACUGGGCGUAAAGCGCGUGUAGGCGGCAUGACAAGUCGGGUGUGAAAGCCCUGGGCUCAACCCAGGAAGUGCACUCGAUACUGUCGUGCUAGAGUCCCGGAGAGGGUGGUGGAACUCUCGGUGUAGAGGUGAAAUUCGUAGAUAUCGAGAAGAACACCGGUGGCGAAGGCGGCCACCUGGACGGUGACUGACGCUGAGGAGCGAAAGCCAGGGGAGCAAACGGG
rnacentral:rRNA from 1 species